rnacentral:rRNA from 1 species
UACGGGGGGGCAAGCGUUGUUCGGAAUUACUGGGCGUAAAGGGCUCGUAGGCGGCCAACUAAGUCAGACGUGAAAUCCCUCGGCUUAACCGGGGAACUGCAUCUGAUACUGGAUGGCUUGAGUUCGGGAGAGGGAUGCGGAAUUCCAGGUGUAGCGGUAGAAAUGCGUAGAUAUCUGGAGGAACACCGGUGGCGAAGGCGGCAUCCUGGACCGAAAUUGACGCUGAGGCGCGAAAGCCAGGG